CACGUAGGCACCAAGCGUUGUCCGGAUUUAUUGGGCGUAAAGAGCUCGUAGGCGGUUCAGUAAGUCAGGUGUGAAAUCUUUGGGCUUAACCCAAAGCGUGCAUUUGAUACUGCUGUGACUUGAGUUCGGUAGGGGAGUGGGGAAUUCCUAGUGUAGCGGUGAAAUGCGUAGAUAUCAGGAGGAACAUCGGUGGUGUAGACGGCUUCUGGACCGUAACUGACGCUGAGACACGAAAGCGUGGGUAGCAAACAGG
rnacentral:rRNA from 1 species